AGCCUUUGGAGAGGAUUAAAGGUUAUACCUGCCCAAUGUUGUAUUAAUGGCCGCGGUACUUUGACCGUGCUAAGGUAGCACAAUCAAUUGGCCCUUAAUUAGGGUCAGGUAUGAAUGGAGUUACGGGGCUUAGCUGUCUCUAGACUAUUUAAUUGAAGUUGCUAUAUAGGUGAAAAAGCCUGUAUUAAGAAAAAAGACGAGAAGACCCUUAGAGUUUUACUUAAAAAAGAGUUAUUUCUUCACUAGUUUUGUUGGGGCAACAUAGGAGAAGAACCAAACCUCCUAAAGGAUAUAAACCGAUGUUUUUAAAUAUGAAUAAACUACCUUAGGGAUAACAGCAUAAUUUUAAAAAUAAGUUUGUGACCUCGAUGUUGGACUAGGAAACUUAAGGGCUAGCCGCCUUUUGGUAAGGUUCUGUUCGAACUAUAAUUCCU
rnacentral:rRNA from 1 species